AUUCUGCCCAUACGGGGAAGGAUGAGAAGCUUUGACUAAGGUUCGACUCGAGCGCCAGCGAGAGAGCGUUGCCGCAGGCAACGACCCGUAGGGCGAAGCGCGCAGCGCUGAGUAAUCCUUCCCUCACCACCA
rnacentral:sRNA from 1 species